rnacentral:rRNA from 1 species
AGCAGCCGCGGUAAUUCCAGCUCCAAUAGCGUAUAUUAAAGUUGUUGCAGUUAAAAAGCUCGUAGUUGAAUUUCGGGAUCAAUAUGUUGGUCGUGCCUUGGUACGUACUGGCAUUAUCGAUUCCUACCUUCUGAAGAACCUCGAUGUCAUUAAUUUGGUGUCUUGGGGAAUCAGGACUGUUACUUUGAAAAAAUUAGAGUGUUUAAAGCAGGCUCGCGCUUGAAUACAUUAGCAUGGAAUAAUGAAAUAGGACGUUUGAUUCUAUUUUGUUGGUUUCUAGGAUCGACGUAAUGAUUAAUAGGGAUAGUUGGGGGCAUUAGUAUUCAAUUGUCAGAGGUGAAAUUCUUGGAUUUAUUGAAGACUAACUACUGCGAAAGCAUUUGCCAAGGAUGUUUUCAUUAAUCAAGAACGAAAGUUAGGGGAUCGAAGACGAUCAGAUACCGUCGUAGUCUUAACCAUAAACUAUGCCGACUAGGGAUCGGAUGAUGUUAAUUUUUUAAUGA